GGACUUCCGGGUCAGCGCCAUCGGUGAAUGGCGGAGUUCCUCCGACUGGAGGAACGGUCUCCAUGGAAGCAGGGGCUUCCCGCCGCGGCGAAGGCGGGGGCCCAUUAGAAAUCCCAGGCGGGAGAAGCCUGGGAACGUGGGGUUCGGCAGAGCACCAAAAGCGCCUCCCCUACUCACGAGGAAACCCUUUUGCGGGGCUCCGAAGUGAAGCGGGUGGAGCAGCGCGGUGCUGCGAACUGAUUGCUACUUCCAUGGAGGGAAGCCGCGCAGCCAUCGCCGGAGAGCGCUGACUUUUCCUGAUGACAUUUGGACUCUAAAUCAAGUACCCGUGAGUAAAAACGGAGAAUUGGACUAAGAAAUCUUUAAAAUUAUGAAAUUAGGCACGAAGCGGGAAUGGUGUAAACAGGAAGUCCGCCUCCCGUCCUUGUAUACAGCUUAAAGCAAAGAUCUUGUAACCUAACAGCCUGAAAAGUUCUUUUAAAGUUGGAAAUUUCCUGCACCCAUAACCAACAAAACCCCCUUGGAAGCAGGAGAGGGGGGGGAUUUCACAGCUUAAUCCUGCAGGAAGUGAGAAAAGGAACGUAAGUUUCCACCGUCCCAAACCUGGGGACGGGGUGUCGGGACAGAAAUUGUUCGAGACGUCCAUUGAUUGAAAGUGGAGCACUUUUGACAGAUAGUUAAAAAGGAAAAAAAGAAACAAAUUAACUUCAACGCUACCUUCUGCAUUUUUGCUCUUUAAGGAAACAAAGUAUUUGAAAUUGAAAGGACUUGAAAUUGAAAGUAGCUUUCUUUGUUGGAUACUUUAAAAAAAAAUUGGCUACAAUCAGAAAUUGUGUCCUCUAGAGGGAGCCUGCCAGUUUGCGGUCGCAGUUUGCAUAUGUGAGAUUUGGAUCGUGGGAACAGCCGUUUGACCUUGUUCUGGAAUAGAAAUGUUUUGGCAGGAAAGUUUGGUGUCUGCCCUUGGUAGGACUAAUGUUUUGCUGGAGCAGCUGCACGAGAAAGUGAGUCUGAUGAAUGAAAAACUGGAUUUUAUGAGUGCUGUGGCCAACCAAUAUGAUUCAACAGGGAAUAAGGAUGAACCUGGUUUGAUAAGGCAAGUCCAAGGGCAGAUGGAGGAGGAAGAGGCAGUAGCUAUCUCUUACACAACACAAAUGGAAAGCCCCAAAGUUUUGCAGGAAAAAAAGCUACUGCGCUGGAAGAUUGAUUUUGGAGAGUGCUGGGAAGCAUUUGAAGUUAAGGAAGUCUUUAACUCUAGUGUGACUGUGAAACAGGUGAAUAACCAUCUUCUGGAUACAUAUUUUUUGGACUAUAAAGAAGAAGAUUGGGAGUGGGACUCGGGGGAAGGGGACAAUAUAAUGAAGGAAAAUGGAAAUUAUUACUGGAUGGAACCCUCCGGAGACCCACUCCCUCAGAGACCAACAAUAGACAAAGAACUGUGUAAGCAUAAACAAGAACAAAAAAAUUUGCAGAAGGGGCCUAGAAGAGAUUUAAGGGCCUCGGACAUCAGAACACCAGAUUGAUGGACUAUGUAACGGACAGAAAGGACUGACAUGACUGAAACCAGGAAGAUGGGACGCUGGAUGAAAAUUAUAGAAAUUUUUAUGUUAAUUUUGGAAUUAGAUUAAUAUCAAUGAAAUUUGUCUAAUAUUAAUGAAAUUUGAGGGAAUAUGCUGGAAAGGAAUCAAAUUGGCUUUAGUAGAAAUGAUUUUAAGGAGAAAUGUAGGAAUGUGAUGUGAUUUUGAAAUUUUAAGAUUUUUAAGAUAAGAUAAGGUUAAAGAAUAAGGCAAAUUGAAUAACAGAUUAUAUUAAAAGAGGGAAAGGCCAUGUUGAUUAACAAAUAAGAUAGAUUGUGAAGAUUAAUUAUUUAAAUUAAAAUUGAGAAAUAUGGGAAGAAUUUGCUGAAAUAACGAAUUAAAUUAGAAUACAAAAAGGGAGGCGUGAGGAGGUUCAAGAACCAAGCAAAUGAAAAGUUGAAAUUUGAGAUUUAUAAUUUCUUUUUUCUUUUUCUUUCUUAUUCUAUUAUCUAUUUUCUUUUCUCUUUUGGGCUAGGGUUGGGGAUUUUUUAUGUAUUGAUGAAACUUUGAAUAAAUAUCAUUAAAAAAA